CGCUUGCCUUGAACAAUCAUCCCUCCAUAGUCGUUGUUAUUGUUGUUAUCCUGAAUGAUUUUGGCGCCCAUACGCACAGUGGGGGAUGAUGAUGAUGAAGUCUCAAUUAAAGGCGUGGGUGAUGAUAGUUUCUGCGAAAUCUUUAUUUCUUCUUAUUGAUCUUUUUGCAAGACUGACAACGGUAUUAUGCAUUAGUUAAUAAAGGGAAAAUCAGACAUCCACCCGUUCUUAGCAAUUGCUACAAAGGAAACCCAUACCGUCCUGGUCCCGGAACAGGACAAAUUUUUCUUCAACUCUGAGGCUUUUCUUUCGAGGAACCCGUAUGGGUUUCCUUUGUAGCAAUUGCUACGAAUGGGUGGAUGUCUGAUUUUCCCUUUAUUAAUUACUUCUCUCCUCCUUGCGGGUUUCCGCAGAACUACUACGUCAUAUGCAUUAGUUUAUUUAAUUUAUAAUUAUAGGUUUCUUUUGUAUUUUCUUUUUUUUUGUUCUCGUAAUACCACCCGAUUAUUUUCCUAUCCCACACAGAGGGUUUAUGUCAUUUUUAUGGAAAUCGCCAUCGUCAUCGUGGCACGUGGUGCGCGUUCUUGUUGCGUAGAACCACAGCCAUUUUGGUCGCGUUCUAGAAGUGCCAGCUCAUCGUAGGCAGCGGAAUCUUUUCAGCCACGGAAUCUUCUCCGGCCCAAAUAAUCAGAGGCGCACGGCGCGCAUCACCAUUGAUAGCCAAGUGGACAUCGAAGCACGCCUCCUAAGAUUUGGAAAACAUUUUCCCUCGUCCUCUGGACCUAUCAUCACAAGAUAUGGAUACAGUGUUCUGCUGCCCGAGAUGUCGCGAGCAGUUCGGUUCCGCAUUCUACAUCGGACGCCCGGAUACUGUAUGGAAUCCAGAAUUCUGCUGCAUGGAUUGUGGCAGGCCACUCAAUGAUCCCGCACCCCACACAGGACGCCUGGAGAGUCCCAACCACCCCAAGAACGCCACCAAGCCGA